rnacentral:rRNA from 1 species
AUGGAGGCGAAGGCUCGCUCCUCGAUGAGUAUGCUUUACGACAGCGGCCUGGAGAGCCCGCUGGCUGGCGCCGAGGACGGCCCCGCCAAGCUGCUUCCCUUCCUAGUUCGCGCUCUUGAAGAUGUCGCCCUUGGCCUUGGCCCCACGGCCGAGGCCGAGGCGCGUGUCCUGUCUUCUGCAGCACUGACGGGGGUCCUCACCCACAUCUACCUCCGCGAUCCCGGCGUCGACCUCGACAUCCUCCUAGAGCCAGUAAGCGGCGAGCGUGCCGCUGCCGCUGCCGAGGCCGUGAAGGGUCGCGCGGAGGCUCUGCUAGGGAAGUUCCCGGCCUUCAGCACCAAGCCGAAGCAAGGCGCUGCCGACCCCACUACUCCAUGA